UCGAAUGUGUUGAAACAGCAGCCAUAUGUCGACCAUGCUUUGAAUCGUUUAUGGAAAAGUAUCUCAAGAAUGUAAAGCUAAAUUGGUGCAAAAAAGAUCAACGAAUUGAAACAAGGUGCCCUUUGAUAAUAACUACUUUCAUGAUGUCUCGAAUGGCCGAUGAUAUACAAUCUGCUUUGCAGGACCUAGAGAUCUUUGGUACUGAUUCAGUGAUGUUAGUGGUAAUUCAAAGUUGUUCCCCAACAAUGAAUCCCGCUAGGAUGACAAUGAUGCAGCAUAUUAAGGAUGACAGAAUCACUUCGUGUGUUAAUGUUUUAAUUUGGCAAAAUAAAGUGUAUUCUUGUAAAAUAAACCAGGUAGCGGCAAAUGAAAUGACGCAUUUUCUUUCCAAAAAAUAAAUAGAAUACCCAUACUUCCUCAACUCCCCCAUAGCUUGGAACAUUAGUCAAUUGAAUGUAUGAAAAAUAAUGUUUCAUUUCAUACUAUUUUCAAUAUAUUAUUCAGUACUUGUAAUUUCCAUCUGAGGAAAACAUGUUAACCAAAUUAGCAAUCGUAGCAUUUUUACUCUUUGUAUCUAACAAUUAUUUACCUUUUUUUAAAUAAAGUGCCGAAAACUGC